CAGUCCGAAUGUCUAGCUGUACAGGACUUGGACAAUCCCUUUGGGAUUGACACAUUUAAACCAGAGAAGUCACAGAACCCGUUUCAAGAGGACGUUUUUGACCCACUGAAAUACAUGAAUAUUUCGGAUGGAGACAAUGUUGUGGCAACAGACCAAGUUGAGAUGAGAAGGAAGACGAGCCCAAUGGUUGAGGACAAUAUGACGGACUCCACACCCGGUCUACGUAAGGCAGAGAGUAGAGACUCCCUGGAUCUGCUAGAGGAAUACUACAAUGAGGAGGACAGCGGGGCAUUCCCCGACUCCCUAAAGAUGAU